UCGAAUAUUGCUUGCGCUGCUGGGGUGGGAUCCGAAGCCUCUUGAAGGUUACUAAGGUUUUCCUACUUAACUCAAGAUCCCGUAACUUCCUCCUUUUGCAGAGUGACAACUGUGGUACAAGUUCAAGUAUAUCUAAGCUUGGGUACACGGACUAGCUUAUAACUUCUUGUCUGAUGAAUAUGAACUCUGUCCAAAGCAGACUGGA
rnacentral:ribozyme from 1 species